CCAAAGGCUCUUUUAAGAGCCACCUACAACUUCAUAGAAAGAGCUGU
rfam:Alligator sinensis unplaced genomic scaffold scaffold647_2, whole genome shotgun sequence